GUAGCAAGUUACUCAAUUUUCCUGGGAUUCUCCCAUGUAUACACAUCAUUAAAUUUGUUUGAUUUUCUCCUGUCAUCCUGUCUCAUGUCAAUUUCUUAGAGCAGCCAGAAGACCAUAGACAGGUAGGGGGAAAUUCCUUUCUCCUCUCCAGUUGGGGAUGAGGAUGGGAUAAAACUUAACUGGCUGGACGCUGCUUGUUCUGGGACUACUGCAGCUGACAGAUCCUGGACCUCUGACAAGAGCUGGCAGCAGCUAAGAGUUCUUACCAUGUCCGUGUCCCAGAUCUCUGCCUGCAGGAUCCAGCGGAAGCAAGAGUGGCACCAGUGAUUCAAGUGCAGCCACAUCCUGACUUCUGAUCUUCACGAGUUUCUUGGAAGAAAAGGUAUGAAGUCAUAGAGGCACUGGCCAGGUCAAGAAGAAUCAAGUCCUGACCAAGAUCCAAAGGAGACACCCCUCUCAAGGUAACAUCUUUGGCAUAGAAAAGCUGGCUCAGAGCAUGAGAAGAAGUUGGAAAUCCACUGAAAGAAAUAAGCCUAUAAACUAAGGUUCAACUUUGGAAACCAUGAGGCGGAAAUCUUACCUAUCUUGGAUCUCAUAAAGAUGAAUUAGUGCCAGCCAGGGAUUCUGAUUCUGAAUCUGCCAGCUUACUUGAAAUGAAAAGACCUGAAAAUAUCAUCUCUAACCGAAUGAACAUUCCACUCUUAAAUUUAGACUUUCUCAGCAUGGAUUUCAUCUUCCUGCUUUGCUGAACCAGGCUGAUUUGCUCAAGUUAAAGUUAGAAAGUGGCUGAAUGGAAGGAUUUCUUCUCAAGUUGCAGGGAAUAAGUAGGACAAGAUGAAGAUCCUAAUCCUGACUGUGGCCAUCUUGAAUUUUGUCUCUCACUUCCCGGUCUUAAGCACUGAUAUCACACUCUUCUUAUGCUUUUGGUUAACAAUUCAAGGACAUAGAUCUUCAUUCUUUCCUGACACAGGCUUUUAAAAUGGGUCUGUUUUCACUUUGCUGAUUUUUCUUCAAUAAAUCUUUUUGACGGCAACUGA
rnacentral:lncRNA from 1 species